AGGGGAGCUUUCUGUCUAUGUGAACUCUUUUGCAAUUCUUACAAAAUCUCUACUGCCCUUGCCAGACAAAUAUCAUGGUCUAACUCAUGUGGAUAAGCGUUACCGGCAACGGUACAUUGAUAUGAUUUCCAAUCCUGAAGUAGCUGAUGUAUUUCGGAAGAGAGCAAAGAUUGUAUCAGAGUUACGCAAGAUAGUGGAAUCUUUU